UACGAAGGGGGCUAGCGUUGCUCGGAAUCACUGGGCGUAAAGCGCACGUAGGCGGCUUGUUAAGUCAGGGGUGAAAUCCUGGAGCUCAACUCCAGAACUGCCUUUGAUACUGGCGAGCUUGAGUUCGGGAGAGGUGAGUGGAACUGCGAGUGUAGAGGUGAAAUUCGUAGAUAUUCGCAAGAACACCAGUGGCGAAGGCGGCUCACUGGCCCGAUACUGACGCUGAGGUGCGAAAGCGUGGGGAGCGAACAGGA
rnacentral:rRNA from 1 species